GACGAACGCUGGCGGCGUGCUUAACACAUGCAAGUCGAGCGGAAAGGCCCUGCUUGCAGGGUACUCGAGUGGCGAACGGAUGAGUAACACGUGGGUGAUCUGCCCUGCACUUCGGGAUAAGCCUGGGAAACUGGGUCUAAUACCGGAUAGGAGCCAUUUUUAGUGUGAUGGUUGGAAAGUUUUUUUCGGUGUAGGAUGAGCUCGCGGCCUAUCAGCUUGUUGGUGGGGUAAUGGCCUACCAAGGCGGCGACGGGUAGCCGGCCUCAGAGGGUGGACGGCGAUAUUGGGACUGAGAGGAGGCCCAGACUGCUACGGGAGGCAGCAGGGGGGAAGAUUGCACGAUGGGCGCAAGCCUGGUGCAGCGACGCCGCGUGGCGGAUGACUGCCUUCGGGUUGUAAACUCCUUGCGCUAGGGACGAAGCUUUUUGUGACGGUACCUAGAUAAGAAGCAACGGCUAACUACGUG
rnacentral:rRNA from 1 species